rnacentral:lncRNA from 1 species
CCGUUGCAGAGAGCUGGGUGUCACCUUGGAACUCUCUCCCAAACGCUCCUGCUCCCGUUCCCGCUGUAAAACUCGGAACAGCGGUCACUGAUGGGAGUUCCUGGCUAAACUCAGGGGCGGAUGCAGGACAAAUACAGCUUCCGGCCUGUGAGAUGGCAAAUGUGCCGAGAUUGUGGUCGCGAACCGAACGAAGACAUUAGGAGAGUUUUAUUGGAAAUAAGGGGAAGAAGAAUAGUUCCUGAAUCUCCAAGUGGAGUCCCAAGUGGGUGCCCACGGAGGUCCUCGGUCAGGAUCUUGCUGUGUAGUCCAGGUUGGCCUUGA